rnacentral:rRNA from 1 species
GACGAACGCUGGCGGCGUGCUUAACACAUGCAAGUCGAACGAAGAGCGAUGGAAGCUUGCUUCUAUCAAUCUUAGUGGCGAACGUGUGAGUAACGCGUAAUCAACCUGCCCUUCAGAGGGGGACAACAGUUGGAAACGACUGCUAAUACCGCAUACGAUCUGACCUCGGCAUCGAGGAUAGAUGAAAGGUGGCCUCUACAUGUAAGCUAUCACUGAAGGAGGGUAUUGCGUCUGAUUAGCUAGUUGGGUGGGUAACGGCCCACCAAGGCGAGGCUCAGUAGCCGGACUGAGAGGAUGAACGGGCAAAGUGGGACUGAGAAACGGCCCAGACUUCUACGGGAGGCAGCAGUGGGGAAUCUUCCGCAAUGGACGAAAGUCUGACGGAGCAAAGCCGCGUGAGUGAUGAAGGCCUUCGGGUUGGAAAGCUCUGUUAAUCGGGAAGAAAGGCCUUUUUGCGAAUAGUGAGAAGGAUUGACGGUACCGGAAGAGAAAGCCACGGCUAACUACGUG